AUUGAACGCUGGCGGCAUGCUUUACACAUGCAAGUCGAACGGUAACAGGGUGCUUGCACCGCUGACGAGUGGCGAACGGGUGAGUAAUGCGUCGGAACGUGCCGAGUAGUGGGGGAUAACGCAGCGAAAGUUGUGCUAAUACCGCAUACGUACUGAGGUAGAAAGUGGGGGACCUUCGGGCCUCACGCUAUUCGAGCGGCCGACGUCUGAUUAGCUAGUAGGUGAGGUAAAGGCUCACCUAGGCGACGAUCAGUAGCGGGUCUGAGAGGAUGAUCCGCCACACUGGGACUGAGACACGGCCCAGACUCCUACGGGAGGCAGCAGUGGGGAAUUUUGGACAAUGGGCGAAAGCCUGAUCCAGCCAUGCCGCGUGUCUGAAGAAGGCCUUCGGGUUGUAAAGGACUUUUGUCAGGGAGGAAAUCCCUAGCGUUAAUACCGCUGGGGGAUGACAGUACCUGAAGAAUAAGCACCGGCUAACUACGUGCCAGCCGCCGCUGUAAAAC
rnacentral:rRNA from 1 species